rnacentral:rRNA from 1 species
UACGGAGGGUGCAAGCGUUAUCCGGAUUCACUGGGUUUAAAGGGUGCGUAGGCGGGCAGGUAAGUCAGUGGUGAAAUCUUCGAGCUUAACUCGGAAACUGCCGUUGAUACUAUCUGUCUUGAAUGUUGUGGAGGUGAGCGGAAUAUGUCAUGUAGCGGUGAAAUGCUUAGAUAUGACAUAGAACACCCAUUGCGAAGGCAGCUCACUACGCAACAAUUGACGCUGAGGCACGAAAGCGUGGGGAGUCAAAC